rnacentral:tRNA from 1 species
GGGGUUAUAAUUUAACUGGUAAAAUAUUUGCUUUGCAAGCAAAAAUAAAGGGUUCAAUUCCCUUUAACUCCA